CCAGGGGGCCGGGCAGCCGCGAGCGGGGUAACCUGUUCGAGGAAAGUCCGGGCUCCACAAUACAAGGGUGGCGGGUAACGCCCGCCGGGGGUGACCCCAGGGACAGUGCCACAGAGAGCAAACCGCCGAUGGUCCUUUCGGGGACACAGGCAAGGGUGAAAGGGUGCGGUAACGGCGCACCGGGGCUUCGGUAACGCGGCCCGCACGGCAAACCCCACCCGGAGCAAAGCCGAAUAGGGGCGGCGCGCCAGCUUGCUGGCAGAUGUGUUUUGCAUCGACCGCCCGGGUUGGCUGCUCGAGCCACGGAGCAAUCCGUGGCCUAGACGAAUGGCUGCCACCGCCGAUACGGUCCCACCUGGGAUACCGUCAGCGGUACAGAACCCGGCUUACAGGCCCCCUGGCAUU
rnacentral:RNase_P_RNA from 1 species